rnacentral:rRNA from 1 species
GGGCGGAAGCCUGAUGCAGCGACGCCUCGUGGGGGAUGACGGCCUUCGGGUUGUAAACCCCUUUCGGCAGGGAACAUGCCGCUUCGGUGGUGAGGGUACCUGCGGAAGAAGCGCCGGCUAACUACGUGCCAGCAGCCGCGGUAAUACUUAGGGCGCGAGCGUUAACCGGAAUUAUUGGGCGUAAAGAGCUCGUAGGAGGUUUGUCGCGUCUGCUGUGAAAGCCCGGGGCUCAACC